GAUGAACGCUGGCGGCGUGCCUAAUACAUGCAAGUCGAGCGAACAGAUGAGGAGCUUGCUCCUCUGACGUUAGCGGCGGACGGGUGAGUAACACGUGGAUAACCUACCUAUAAGACUGGGAUAACUUCGGGAAACCGGAGCUAAUACCGGAUAAUAUAUUGAACCGCAUGGUUCAAUAGUGAAAGGCGGUUUUGCUGUCACUUAUAGAUGGAUCCGCGCCGCAUUAGCUAGUUGGUAAGGUAACGGCUUACCAAGGCAACGAUGCGUAGCCGACCUGAGAGGGUGAUCGGGCACACUGGAACUGAGACACGGUCCAGACUACUACGGGAGGCAGCAGUAGGGAAUCUUCCGCAAUGGGCGAAAGCCUGACGGAGCAACGCAGCGUGAGUGAUGAAGGUCUUCGGAUCGUAAACCUCUGUUAUUAGGGAAGAACAAAUGUGUAAGUAACUAUGCACGUCUUGACGGUACCUAAUCAGAAAGCCACGGCUAACUACGUG
rnacentral:rRNA from 1 species